UAGGGAAUCUUCCGCAAUGGACGCAAGUCUGACGGAGCAACGCCGCGUGAGUGAAGAAGGAUUUCGGUUCGUAAAACUCUGUUGUUAGAGAAGAACAGCGCAUAGAGUAACUGUUAUGCGUGUGACGGUAUUUAACCAGAAAGCCACGGCUAACUACGUGCCAGCAGCCGCGGUAAUACGUAGGUGGCAAGCGUUGUCCGGAUUUAUUGGGCGUAAAGCGAGCGCAGGCGGUCAAUUAAGUCUGAUGUGAAAGCCCCCGGCUCAACCGGGGAGGGUCAUUGGAAACUGGUUGACUUGAGUGCAGAAGAGGAGAGUGGAAUUCCAUGUGUAGCGGUGAAAUGCGUAGAUAUAUGGAGGAACACCAGUGGCGAAGGCGACUCUCUGGUCUGUAACUGACGCUGAGGCUCGAAAGCGUGGGUAGCAAACAGG
rnacentral:rRNA from 1 species